ensembl:lncRNA
ACAGCGUAAUGACAGGAAGUAUGGUGGAGGUGCUUGCAUUUACAGCGUAAUGACAGGAAGUAUGGUGGAGGUGCUUGCAUUUACGGUGUAAUGACAGGAAGUAUGGUGGAGGUGCUUGCAUUUACGGUGUAAUGACGGGAAGUAUGGUGGAGGUGCUUACAUUUACACUGUAAUGACGGGAAGCAUGGUGGAGGUGCUUACAUUUACGCAGUAAUGACGGGAAGUAUGGUGGAGGUGCUUACAUUUACGCAGUAAUGACGGGAAGUAUGGUGGAGGUGCUUACAUUUACGCUGUAAUGACGGGAAGUAUGGUGGAG